rnacentral:rRNA from 1 species
AGCAGCCGCGGUAAUUCCAGCUCCAAUAGCGUAUAUUAAAGUUGUUGCAGUUAAAAAGCUCGUAGUUGAAUUUCGGGAUUGGCGCAUCGGUCGUGCCUCACGGGGUAUGAACUGGUGCAGUCAAUUUCUCACCUUCUGGAGAACCGCGAUGUCCUUAAUUGGAUGCCGCGGGGAACCAGGACCUUUACUUUGAAAAAUUAGAGUGUUUAAAGCAGGCAUUUUUGCUUGAAUACAUUAGCAUGGAAUAAUAAAAUAGGACGGCAUGGUUCUAUUUUGUUGGUUUCUAGGACCACCGUAAUGAUUAAUAGGGAUAGUUGGGGGCAUUAGUAUUCAAUUGUCAGAGGUGAAAUUCUUGGAUUUAUUGAAGACUAACUACUGCGAAAGCAUUUGCCAAGGAUGUUUUCAUUAAUCAAAGAACGAAAGUUAGGGGAUCGAAGACGAUCAGAUACCGUCGUAGUCUUAACCAUAAACUAUGCCGACUAGGAAUCAGACGAUGUUAAUUUUUAAUGUACUCGUUUGG